UAGAAAAUAAUAUAAAGGAAGUAUAGAGGGUUUUGAUUUCUCUAGUGUAGGUUCGAUCCCUACUUUUCUAA
rfam:Taeniopygia guttata mitochondrion, complete genome.